AUCAAUAAGCGGAGGAAAAGAAACCAACAGGGAUUGCCUUAGUAACGGCGAGUGAAGCGGCAACAGCUCAAAUUUGAAAUCUGGCCCUUGGGUCCGAAUUGUAAUUUGUAGAGGAUGAUUUUGGUGCGGUAUCUUCCGAGUUCCUUGGAACAGGACGCCUUAGAGGGUGAGAGCCCCGUACGGUUGAAUGCCUAGCCUCUGUAAAUCUCCUUCGACGAGUCGAGUAGUUUGGGAAUGCUGCUCUAAAUGGGAGGUAAAUUUCUUCUAAAGCUAAAUAUUGGCCAGAGACCGAUAGCGCACAAGUAGAGUGAUCGAAAGAUGAAAAGCACUUUGAAAAGAGGGUUAAAUAGCACGUGAAAUUGUUGAAAGGGAAGGAUUUGUGACCAGACUUUUUCUGGGCGGAUCAUCCGGGGUUCUCUCCGGUGCACUUCGCCCAGUAAAGGCCAGCAUCGGUUUUCGGCGUGGGAUAAAAGCAGUAGGAAUGUGGCUCUCUACGGGGAGUGUUAUAGCCUAUUGUAUAAUACCGCGCUGGGGACCGAGGUUCGCGCUUCUGCAAGGAUGCUGGCGUAAUGGUUAUCAAUCACCCGUCUUGAAACACGGACCAAGGAGUCGAACAUUUGUGCGAGUGUUUGGGUGUUAAACCCUCACGCGUAAUGAAAGUGAACGGAGGUGAGAGCCCUUACGGGUGCAUCAUCGACCGAUCCUGAAGUUUUCGGAUGGAUUUGAGUAAGAGCAUAACUGUUCGGACCCGAAAGAUGGUGAACUAUGCGUGGAUAGGGUGAAGCCAGAGGAAACUCUGGUGGAGGCUCGCAGCGGUUCUGACGUGCAAAUCGAUCGUCAAAUCUGCGCAUGGGGGCGAAAGACUAAUCGAACCAUCUAGUAGCUGGUUACCGCCGA
rnacentral:rRNA from 1 species